AAAGCCACAGCCACAGCCAGACAAACCAGCACGGACCCUGGGGCCUGAAGCCACAGGCUCAGCCUGAGAGACCGGCACCAGCUCUGGGGUCUAAAGCCACAAAAAAAGAGGCCAGCACUGAGCCCAGGCCCUAAAGCCACAGCCUGAGAGGCUGACGCCGGCCAUGGGGCUUAAAGCAAAAGCCACAGCCAGGCAGGCCAAAAAAGGCCCUGGGGACUAAAGGCACAGCUUGAAAGGCUUGAAACAGUGCAGGGGCUUAAAGCCACAGCCAAACUUAGAGAGGCCGGCACCUGAAGCCCCAACCAGCAAGGCCAGCACCGGCCCAAGGGCCUGAAGUCACAGCCAGAGAGGCCUACACCGGCCCCAGGGCCUAAAGCCCCAGCCCCAGUCUGAGAAACCAGCACCAGCCCCAAGGCCUGAGGCCACAGCCACACAGGCUGCCAUUGAUCCCAGGGCCUAAAGCCACAGCCCAAAAGGCCAGCACUGGCCCCGGGGCCUAAAGCCACAGCCAUGGCACAAGAGGCCAACACCAGCUUUGAAUAUAAAUCCACAGCCCAAGAGGCCUAUACCAGCCCGAGGCCUGAAGGUACAGCCACAGCCCGAGGGGGCUACAUCGGCCCUGAAGCCUAACGCCACAGCCAGACAGACCUGCACCAGCCCCGGGACAUUCAGGCGUGCAUUGCUAUUGGUUUCCAGUGAUUCCUCUGGGACUCCAUUGACCACUAUGAAGCCCUAUUGGUCUUUUCUGUUUUUUAUUGGGCUGCACAAGAGUCGUCUUCACUUCUCCAUUCCUGUUCUUCAGAUAACCCCAUUGGGUGACCCUAAGAUGUGGAGCUGGGAGGCGUCCAUUUCCUUCGCUUAUGAUGAAAGCACCGAGGCGAUGCGGGCACUCGCUGAGGUCACAACCACUGCUGGGGUGGGAGCGUUUGUGCCACAGCUGGUGAGCAGAGCUGGUGCUCUGGUGAGCGUGCUGCACGCAGAGACUGAGCUCUGGGCCUUCUGUGGAACAGAUCACCCUGUGAGAGCCCGACGGAAGCACCGCGUGUGCACUCGUCGGUACUUUCUGCAGGAUUCCUGUCCCAAAGGAGAUUCCGGGAUCGAGGCGGUCUUAGGAAGAGGGAAGCCAGCUCUUUCCAAGGGCCGGGGAAGUUCCUGCAGAGAGAGCCUCUGGAACUUCAGCUUCCUCUGAGCCUUCAGCAGCCAUGUCUCAGCAAGGAGACGACCGCGGUUCCAAUUGCUGCCGUGUGAGUGGCAAGGUAUGGCUGGGCCUCUUCUGCUUGGUGCUUCCGUUUCCUUGUUUUCAAGGGGAAGGGACGGAGCAAGGGGAGCCCUGCUGGUCCUUGGUGACCUCAGGAACCGGUUGGAUUCAGCGCUCACUGCUGACAGCCUGGGCUAACAACGUGGACGUGGCUCAGGCUGUCUUUUCCCAUAGUGAUAAUCAGUGUCUCAGCACUCUGAUAUCCCAUCUGUGGCACGAUCAGGAACCUCUCUGCAAACCUUGGCUGCCCGUUCCCACCACCGUUUCUCCCUUUCUCUCUUCAGAAGUGGCGCGGUGCGGUUCCCCGCGGUUGGGAGCAGCAGCCAGCAGGCUGCCAGAGAUCCAACCGCGCCUUGCAGCGCACAGAGGGACGCAACAGGGACGGACGGUCCUUCCUGCCAUACAGAAGUGAGUUUCUUCAGCCCUCUGUCGCAAAGUGUGGAGGAAUGAAUUUUGAGUAUUCCUUCUGAGCGGGUGCAGUGCUGUAGGGGAUGUCAAGUAAGCAUCCAUUUGGAGUGCAGGAAGGAGCAGUGCAAAGUGAACUAUCAAUCCGUUUGUGUUUGGGCUGUCAAAGUAGCAUCUUUCUGUUUCCUG
ensembl:lncRNA